rnacentral:rRNA from 1 species
CCUACGGGAGACAGCAGUGAGGAAUAUUGGUCAAUGGGAGAGAUCCUGAACCAGCCAAGCCGCGUGAGGGAAGACGGCCCUAUGGGUUGUAAACUUCUUUUGUCAAGGGACAAAAUCAGGCUCGAGAGCCUGACCGAGGGUACUUGUAGAAAAAGCAUCGGCUAACUCCGUGCCAGCAGCCGCGGUAAUACGGAGGAUGCGAGCGUUAUCCGGAUUUAUUGGGUUUAAAGGGUGCGUAGGCGGACUGUUAAGUCAGCGGUAAAAGCCCGGGGCUCAACCCCGGCGAGCCGUUGAAACUGGCUGUCUUGAGAUGUCGAGAGGUAUGCGGAAUGCGCAGUGUAGCGGUGAAAUGCUUAGAUAUUGCGCAGAACUCCGAUUGCGAAGGCAGCAUACCGGCGGCGAUCUGACGCUGAGGCACGAAAGCGUGGGUAUCGAACAGGAUUAGAUACCCCUGUAGUC